ACGAAGGGGGCUAGCGUUGUUCGGAAUCACUGGGCGUAAAGCGUACGUAGGCGGACCUGUAAGUCAGGGGUGAAAUCCCGGGGCUCAACCUCGGAAUUGCCUUUGAUACUGCCGGUCUUGAGUUCGGGAGAGGUGAGUGGAACUGCUAGUGUAGAGGUGAAAUUCGUAGAUAUUAGCAAGAACACCAGUGGCGAAGGCGGCUCACUGGCCCGAUACUGACGCUGAGGUACGAAAGCGUGGGGAGCAAACAG
rnacentral:rRNA from 1 species